CCCGUAUCAAGGGCGCCAUUUUGUUUCCAUGCGCGCUACGUAAAAAAUCUGUCUAAAAUCAUACUAGGCUACUGCUGUUUCUACAUUAAAAAGCUCGAUUUGUGUCGUUUCCUGAUCAUCGUGGUUUCGGGAGAGACGUUGUAUUGUUCAAACAACCGAUCUGAACAGUUCUGACGCUCUUCAAGGAAAACCUCGCGCUUUGGCCUCGGAAUUCCAACAUUUAUAGCCGUGUUCUGUACGCGUUUCUUUCUGCAAUGAAUGGUAUAAAUAAAACGAUGGCUCAUCAUCAGAAGCUCAAGUUACAAAAGUGGUAUUCAGAGACUGUUCUACCGAAGUUGAAAGUCUUCAAAGUGAAGAAAAGAGGGGGUGUUGUAGAACGGGUAGAUCAUAUUGAUCGAGUGUAUUGUUGAGUAAAGGUAAUUUUUUGCUCUAGUUACAAGACGAAUAUACAGUCAUCAUACGUUCUAAUUUUACAAAAGAGACAAAUAUGAAGUUAUUUGUUGGAGUAGGAGUGAAGCAGUUGACUGUGUAAAACGUUGUGUUUGUUUGUCGACUCUUAGGCGAAGACCGUGUUAUUGAGGGAUCGUUUGGUCAGAGUGGAAAGUCUAAAGUUCGAAUACCAGUAUCUUAUUUGAUGCAGCUGGUCUCUUACAAGAGACACAAAAGUUACUAUCAAGCCAUAAGAAAAAGGGUGGCAAGCCAAAAUCAGAUGAAGAUGGCAGCUUAACAGACAUCAGAGAAAGCAACAUUCGUGUAACUCUUCAGUUUAAGAGAUACAGUUUUGAUCCUGCUAAGAAGAUGAUUCAUUAGCGUGACAUGUAUCCUUCAUCACCAAUUGUUCAAACUUCUUUCAUAGUUUUGUAUUCUGAUGCCUUCUUGCGGUUUUGGUUGCCUUCAGUUUGCUGUUGUUUGGUCUCUUUUUGCCCAAACAUAGAAACUAUAUAUUAGUAUGACUCUGUCUUCUUGACUGUUACCUGAAAUCAAUAUAAAUCAGAUGUUGAGAGAAUUGUGUGGAGAUGACUAGAUGGGUACGUGAUACCUGUGCAGGCUUUCCAUUGUAUGAUGAAAAUUAACAUUACAGCAAUG